CAGAAAAUGAUCCACGAAGGAAGAUCGUGGACACAGGAAGGAAGGAAGGAAGGACAAAAUCCAUGGUCAAUAGGUGCUCCCAUGCAUAAACCCUUGCACCCCGAACCCCAUGUCAGCAUCUGCUUCCCAGAGGAUCGCCCCACAACAGGCUCUUUGAUUUUACUUAUUUGUCAGAGAGAGAGAGAGAGAGCACAAGCAGGGGGAGCGGCAGAGGCAGAGGGAGAAGCAGGCUUCCCGCCAAGCA